rnacentral:lncRNA from 1 species
UGUCUUCGGAGAAGGACAGAAAUAACGAUCCUACUGUCCUGUGAAGAGCUGGAGAGGAAAUGUCAGCCAACAGCAUAUGCAAGUUCCCCAAAGCAGCAUCUCUGGAGCAGUCAGUAAUGGAGAUGGAGGAAACGUGAAGCUUGGAGAGAAAAGUCUCUCUGAAUAACUACUACUAACAUGGAAGAUAAAGAAAUCAGAGUGAUCCAUGUUCAGGGAAGGACCAAUGUGAGAGGUGUCACCAGAGACUGUAACUCAUCUUUAUGGAACCUUCAUCCUUGUAUUCUUUUUCCUGAAAACAUUAUCCUUCUUUUUUGGCUCAAAGGCUACAUUGCUUUACAGUUUUUGAUGCCAGCUGGAGCAGAUAUUCAUUCCAAAACAUCUGACAACUAUGCUUUACUGUCAGAAUAUAUUAUUCAGAAGUUGAAACAGGUCUGUUCAAUGUGGAUUAAAGCAGAGACAUCCCAGGUAGUUGGAGAAGGGUUCUUCACCCACCACUGCACAUCUCCGUGGCAGUUGCACUCAGCUCUCCUCGUGCUCAGAGCAGUGACAGAACUGCCCUGGGGAGGCCAUUCACCACACCUUUGGAUGAUGAGAGACCACCAAAAAUGCCCAUGGCUUUUGAAGGGAUCCACAUUAUUUUACAGGUGUACUCUGAUGUCAAUGGAUGAAAAGGUCCCAUAUGUGUAAUGAAAACGGACAGCAAACUUCAUCCAUCAAAUCUUCUGGAAGCUUUAAAGCAUUUGUUUCCCUGGCCAAACUCAUGAUGCUGACCAGUGCUCCCCAUCCGAAGACCAGUGCUGGCUCCUUCCAGGUGGGCAGGCAGUUCUCUCCUGAGGACAGGAUAGGAACUAUGAGCCCUUUUUUUUGUUGCUUUUGUUGUUGUUGCUGCUGCUGUUUUAAUUAAGAUUCAGAAAUUGAGCUUCCUAUGUGAAAGGGCAUUUUUGCUUUGGUUUUUGUGUUUUUUCUCUCUUUGAAAGCAUUAGCUGGUGGAUCACCAGUAAGCACUACGUGGUAUGCACUGUCUGAACUGCAUGUACCCAAAUAAAUGGGUGCAGUCAAACCACAAUGGGACUAGGGAUGCACUUAGAAUCGCAGAAUUGCCAAGGUUGGAAAAGACCUCCAAGAUCAUCCAUCCCAACCAUCCACCUACCACCAAUAUUACCC